rnacentral:tRNA from 1 species
GCCGUGGUAGCUCAGGUAGCAGAGCGCUUCUCUGAAAAAGAAGAGGUGGCCGGCGCACAUCCGGCCCACGGCACCA